rnacentral:lncRNA from 1 species
CAGCAGGUCAACACUUAAAAACAGAACUGAAGUUGUUGGAAGUUUUUAUCAGUGUGUUUGAGGACACACCCCCUCCAUCACUCUCACACACACACUCUCUCUCUCUCCACUCAGUCAGUGUGUGUCUCUCAUCGAGGAUGGACGUGUGUGUGUCUCUCUCGCUCGCUCUGGUCCUGUCGUCCUGCUGUGGAAGUGUAGGAAGCCACGAAGAAGAAGAGAAGCUGAGCACUGAGGACUACAACUACGCAACAGUGACUCCAACGCCAGACUACGACUACAACGCCACCUUCGACUAUUACUAUGGUAACAACAAGGGGGCCCAUGUGACUGUGUGCUGAAGCAGGUCUGUUAGCAGCGGCGCUAACAGCUGUUUGUGCUUCACUGGUGUUUAGUGACCUACGAGGACAGGAACAUGGAUGGAGCGGACACCUCAGACGGCAGAGGGUCCAGGCC